rnacentral:rRNA from 1 species
UAGGGGGCAAGCGUUAUCCGGAUUUACUGGGUGUAAAGGGAGCGUAGACGGUAAUGCAAGUCUGGAGUGAAAUGCCGGGGCCCAACCCCGGAACUGCUCUGGAAACUGUGAUACUGGAGUGCAGGAGAGGUAAGCGGAAUUCCUGGUGUAGCGGUGAAAUGCGUAGAUAUCAGGAGGAACACCGGUGGCGAAGGCGGCUUACUGGACUGUAACUGACGUUGAGGCUCGAAAGCGUGGGGAGCAAA